AUGUCUGUACGUGCGGUGAUGCGCGCCUUGUGCAAGAACAAGAUGCUUUGCUACGGAGUCCUCAUGCUAUUGCUGAUUGUUGGAGGUUCUUUUGGUCUUUGUGAAUUUUCACAAAUCCGCUAUGAUGCUGUGAAAAUUAAGAUUGAUCCUGAAUUAGAAAAAAAACUGAAAAUGAAUAAAGUAUCAUUGGAAUCAGAGCAUGAGAAAAUAAAGGAUUCUGCUUUUGAUGACUGGAAGAAUAUUCGAGGACCCAGACCUUGGGAAGAUCCUGACCUCCUCCAAGGAUGAAAUCCAGAAAUUCUUAAGACUAAGACAACUUGA